AUCAUAACCAGUUUUGUAUAAUAAACUUAAAUACAAAAAAAAAACCGAGGCGUGAUUAUUGCUAAUUGAAAACUAUUCCCAAUACCCUGCCAUGAUGACUUGAAAUAAUAGUCAGCAAUGGCAAUUUUUGAUAGUCUCUUGUGAGA